GGACGGAGGCGGAGGCGGGGUCGGGGGCCUGGGGGAGUGGUCUGGCCUUGGGGUGGGGCGGGCGCCGCGGGCCUGACCUGAGGUCCUUACCCGAGCGAGGCGACCGUGCGGCAGAGGUGCAGAGGCGCCAGGCCCUCUGCGCUGAGCAGGUCGGGGUCGGCGCGGUGCUGCAGCAGCAGGCGGGCGCAGGCGGUGUGGCCCCCGAGGCAGGCCUCGUGCAGGGCGCCGCGGCCGCCGGGGCUGGCGUCGGGGUCUGCGCCGCGGCCGAGCAGGUAUCGCACGCAGGCGGCGUGGCCGUGGGCCGCGGCGAUGCACAGGGGCGUGACCAUGAAGUGAAUUUAGGAAAAGGAAGGCAAGAAUCUCCAAGCAGGAGAGGAGGCCCGGCUUGUGUCUGGCUAACUGAGUGAAUAGACCGAAUUUCUCUAAUAUUUGCCAGGGUUGUAGGUCAGAAACCGGGAACGGGCCUCACUGGGUGACAAUCGAGGUGUCUGCAGUGCCGUGUCCCUUUCUGGAGGCUCCAGAGCUCGGAUCUCUGGCUUUCCUGACCUUCCCCUGGGGAAGCUGAGGGGGGCUGCUGGUCGCGGGACCCCUGGUGACCAUGUUCAGGUCUGACCACAGAGAAGACAGGCAUGGAAACUGAGGCAGUGUCACGUGGAAGCUGCUUUGUCCAGGAGGGAUGAAAGGGACAGAGGUUGCUUCUCUUGGAGAAGAGAAGACUGGAGGCAGGUAAGUUUGCUGUUUUCAAAUGCGUGAAAGACUGCCAUGGGGAAGAAAGGUUUUGCUAAGUUUGGCCCUGAAUGUAGAAUGAAGGCUGUUCUUUCAUUUCUUCCUUUAUAAGACGUUUACAGAAGAGCUUUGAUGUGCCAGGCACUGUGCUAGGUGCCAAGGUCACAAAGAGUAAUAAUGCAGGGUCCCUGACCUCCAGGAGCCCACCUGUGGUAGGAGAGAGCAGACCUGAGGUUGAGGGUGUUCCAAGGAAAUCAGGAUGUCAGUGAGGGCCACCAACGACAGAAAGGGGGAGAAGUGGGCAGGUGGGGGGAACUAGGAAUGGAGACCACAGAUAGCGGUUAAAGCAGACAGGCCUUCCAAGGUCUCCAGAAGAUCAGAUGGUCUGAAGUGGGGGGAAGCGCCCUGCUCAGGCCAGGAGUCAGGGCACAGGGUGAGGUGUCCUCACUUGGGGCACACGGGGAGUGCCUGGCACUUCUGGAAGGGGUCAGAAAAGUGCGUGGCCACGCUACAGAGGUUGCUUGUAUCCUAGAGGCUGUGGAAGGCAUGGAAAAGACUUAAAUCAAGAACUUUGAUCCUUUUUAUGUUACAGAAAAAUCCCUCUGGGGAGUGUGUAGAGGAGGAUGUGGUGGGAGCUGUGCCGGCCUCGGGGAGCAGGCAGGUGUGGGCGGUGGCACAGUGAGGACAAGGCCCAGGCAGGGAGGUGCUGCGGGGCUGCUGCAGGGAGAAGAUGAGAGUAUGCAGCAGGGGAUAGGCAGGGCGGGAUGGGGAGGGCAGGACUGGCCAGACUCGAUAACAGUGGGUUGUGGGUUGCGGGAGGGGGCUCGAUGCUAGAUGUGCAGAGGAUGGUAAUGAGGUCAGUGUCGGCUGCCAUGAGCCCCCGCACAGUGGGGCAGGCAGGGAGGGCUGCUGGGGCCAGAGAGGAGGAGAGAGGCAAGGGCCGGAAAGGCCUCCAAGGCCACAGCAAACCACCAGCAGUGGACGCCUCGAGUGGAUGGAAGGAAUUCCCGAGUAAAGGGGGACAGUGGAUGAGGCCAGGAGAGGGUGGCAGAGAGCCCAGGGCCACACAGGGAAGACGAUGAUAGAGGAGGAGGUCUGGGCUGCCAAGGGGCAGCAGCUAUGGAGAGAAGGGACGGGUCUGGAGGGAUAGCCAGCCUCGAAACCAGGGGGCCAACAAGCGGGGGAGGGGGGCGGCCAACGGUGGCCCAUGCUGGCCAGAGAGUUUGGUAAUGAGGAGGUCACUUGUGGCCUUGGCAGGGAGUGGAGGGAACAGAGCCAGGUGACAGGGAGAGCUCCUGCAGAAAGACGGGCAGACAGUAAGCCUGGGGAGGAUGUGGCACUGGAGUAGUCAGUGCCCAGGAAAUGUUUGCGGAUAGCAUGGGCUAGGGACAGAAGGCAGGAGGAUGGGCUGGGAGGAGAAGGGCUCAUCUUCCUUGCACCACAGACACCAGAGGGCAGGGUGGCUGCUGCUGCAGAAAGUGUGCAGGCCACACAAGAAAUGUUUGCAGGCACCUCUGCUGGGAAUAAGAUCUGCUCUUACAGUUUGCGGAAAAGCAGUGUUCUUUAGUAAAAAUCUCAGAAUAUACAGAAUGGCAUAAACAACACCUUUUCUCCCUCCACCUAGAAUCAACCGUCGAACAUUUCCUGUCCUUACAGAUCCUUUACGAAAAUGGGAUCUUGUUCAACACAUACUGCUUUAUGGGCUGCUUUGUUCAUGUCAUAUGAAAGUUAUUUCUCCAUUAUCAAUUUUAACAGGAAGCACCAGGUUUAGGGUUCUAAUUAAUCCCCUGUUUUUGAAUGUAUAGAUGGUUUCCAUCUUUUACUACUCCAAAUAGUAUUUAUUUAGGGCACCUGGCUGAGAAUUUCCUUAGAAUGACUGCCAGGAGAGGCUUCCAGCUGGAGGCGCCCGGACGUUCUGUGCGUGUCGUUUUUGCGUGUGCUGCCGCAGUGCCCUCCUGGGGUUCCAUCUGUUUACACUGUCCCCAGGAAUAAAUGAGGGCUCUGGCUUUCCACACUCUUCUCCUCAACAAGGAUUAAUAAUAAAAAACUCUCUGCCAAUUUGCUAAUGAAAAAUGGUAUCCUUUGCUUUUCUAAUUUUCAUUUAGCUAUGAAAAGGCUUCAUUGAAAUUACCCACAGAUAGUUUGAGGUCAUGGACAAUUACAUUAAUUAAUUCAUAAUUGAACUUUCCAGAGUUCUGUUGGAUAGUUCCCUUCGCCUGCCAGUAGAGGGCUCUUCGCUCCUAUCAAAUAUCACUAGAGGGUUUUUGUUUUGUGUCAAUUAUGAAAUAAAGACAAAUCGCCACCGUGUGCUUUUUCAAAUGCUAGCAAGUUCUAGCAAAGAACUAAAGACCUCUCCAUCCACAUGCAUUUUAUGGGACUGAUCUUUUGUAUUUUCCAAAGAAACACUGUCAAACCUUCACCAUCAGAAUUAGAUUCUCAGGGGAUAAUGCUCAACAAUUAAAACCUGUUUGUGUUUCGGCACGCAUGAGUUAUGAAGAUGCUCUGCCCAGAUGACCCCUGGACAUUUUGGAGGUUCUCUCUGAAAGAAUCCUAUUUUGCUUGCCAAGGAGAACUGCAGGAAUAAAACAGCUACUUGUUUUUUUCAGCUGCUGUGUCUCAGCUGAAACUCAUUCACUCAUUCAUUCAUCCCACACGUAUUUACGGUGCAUCUGAGAGCUCUGUGGUAGGAGGCAGGGGUGUCUGGGAGUUGGGAGACAUGGUCCCUGCCUGUAGAGGGUGCAGCUGCCUGUGUCUGAAUGGGCGACGCUGAGUGAGGUGCUGCGGGGUUAGGGAGGGUACGGGGGAGUGAGGCCUAUUUGCAGGGGGAGAGGGUUCACUUUCCCAUACUGUGGUCACUUGGAUUCUGUUUAAAUAGUUCAUAUGACACUUUGGCCUGCAUUUCCACUAUUGAAAAAUUAUAUUUUAAGUUUCUAUUUCCUUGUAAUACCUUUUAUGUACUUGCAGAGGUUACUUCAAGUCCUCACUGCAAUUAGCUGGACAUAAACCAUAAAUGAUCAUCAAAAGAAGGGCAGAGGAACUGAAAGCUGCUCUGAAAAAUAAAGUCUAUGUAAAGAACAAAAGGUUCUGAAGCCUAUGUGCACGCCCCUCCUCAGCCUGCAGCUGCCUCCACACACAGUGGAAGCGGAGUCUGGCCUCUUCACGGAUGACCCGCUCAAGACUCAGGGCAUUGGCCUCCCACCAUGUCCACACCUGAGGCUGCACCGGAGUCGCUAAAUCCUGCGUCCCUUUCCCCCUGUCCUUGCUCCUCUCUUUUCUCUCCCCCUCCUUUUUGAUCAGCCCUGUUUUGGUGGCCAGGUGUAGGCCUUGCAUUAUCCUUACUGAUAUCCACCUUGUAAAACGAGACUAACAUAUUUAUUACACUAAUUGUACAUCUGUGUGUGUGUGUGUGUGUGUGUUUUUUUAAAUACAAUCAUCCACAAAUAGCA